GCAAGUCGAACGAGAACGGAUAUUAGCUUGCUAAUAUUGUCAGCUAAGUGGCGCACGGGUGAGUAAUAUAUAGGUAACGUGCCCUAGAGAAGAGGAUAACAGUUGGAAACGACUGCUAAUACUCUAUAUGCCUUUAAGUCUAAAGACUGCAAGGGAAAUAUUUAUAGCUCUGGGAUCGGCCUGUACAGUAUCAGAUAGUUGGUGAGGUAAUGGCUCACCAAGUCAAUGACGCUUAACUGGUUUGAGAGGAUGAUC
rnacentral:rRNA from 1 species